UUUGCGUAACGAUUGGAGUGGCAUCCUUUUUUUGCUUUCACCAUGAUGCAAAUUGCAAAAAAGAUACAGUGAAAAGCGUGUAAAAAC
rnacentral:sRNA from 1 species